UCAAGUAUUCAAGAUGGACGGAAGGGAAUGCGGAGAGGAGAAGCGGGAGCUGCUGCUUUGAGCGUCUUCCACUUCCAUGCCCGGGCCGGGGGAAAGGGGGAGGAAACUCCCCGCAAGUUUCCACCUCUGCCACUGGGGGAGGCGAGAGACGAGGAGAAGCCCGAGAGCUGCUGAAAGGGUGGACCUUCUGAAACACCUUCUAGAAACACCAAGCUGGAUGUUCCUGCUGAAUGAAGACCAGAGAGGACGGCUGAAAUUAUUUGGGCACUACGGCAGCCAAGAGGAGAUCCCAAAGAAAGCAAACUGAUAAAAGAGUUAAAAUGAAUCCCCGUUGUCUUGGGCGAGGUGAGAAGGCAGUUCUCUUGUUUCCGCAUAGGAAUUCGGAGAGAGGGAAAGAGUGCGCGAAGAGCCUCCUGAGGCACUGGGCAUGGCCCCUGUCCAAGGCUCUUUUCACAUUGUGCUACUGUCUGAGCCCAACGCAAGCAGUGCAAUGUAAAAAGGGCAUUGGGUGGGUGGCCACAGCAGCAUGAAGCCUCUAGACGUCCCUUAUUGGCAAUAUUCAGGGGAUAGACACGGAGCCUUGCUAUGUGAGGCAAAAGGAAGGUGUAACUGAGAAAACGGAUAGUGGGGCUGUUCAGCAUCAACUGCUGGGUUAGGACGGUUCACAGGCCAACAUGGUUUGGCAUCUGAGUGGAAGCUGAAGGGUUGUUGCUUUCUUGCAAAUCGCCUUUGACUGUUCUCUUUCUGAGGUGUUACAGCAGCCUAUUGCCUAAUAAAUGUUGCCGCUUCUUUAA